rnacentral:rRNA from 1 species
CACCGCCGCGGUAAUACGAAGGGUGCAAGCGUUACUCGGAAUUACUGGGCGUAAAGCGUGCGUAGGUGGUGGUUUAAGUCCGUUGUGAGAGCCCUGGGCUCAACCUGGGAAUUGCAGUGGAUACUGGGUCACUAGAGUGUGGUAGAGGAUAGUGGAAUUUCCGGUGUAGCAGUGAAAUGCGUAGAGACCGGAAGGAACAUCUGUGGCGAAGGCGACCACCUGGACUGAUACUGACACUGAGGUGCGAAAGCGUGGGGAGCAAACAGGAUUAGAUACCCCCGUAGUCCCUGUCUCUUAUACA